rnacentral:rRNA from 1 species
GCUGAAUUUAAGCAUAUUAAUAAGCGGAGGAAAAGAAACUAACAAGGAUUCCCUUAGUAACGGCGAGUGAAACGGGAAAAGCUCAAACCUGAAAUCUGUCUGGAGAAAUCCAAGACCGAGUUGUGUUUUGGGAGACGAUGUCUGGCAUUGUUCACUUGGGGUAAAAGUCUCUUGGAAAAAGAGCAUCAUAGAGGGUGAAAAUCCCGUAUAUGACCUCAAUUGACUAGGCUUUGUCUAGGUUCAAUCAAACAAAAACUUCGUAAGAAGCGUAUGUUUGAUUUGGGUCUAUACAAAGCCCUAGUAUUGUGUAACAAUGUCAAUAUGUCAUCGUCUCGUAGAGUCGGGUUGUUUGAGAAUGCAGCCUAAAGUGGGUGGUAGAUUCCAUCUAAAGCUAAAUACAAGUAAGAGACCGAUAGCGAACAAGUACCGUGAGGG